rnacentral:rRNA from 1 species
ACGAAAGUCUCUGCUUUUAACUAGAUAGCAACUUUCAGCAGUGGAUGUCUAGGCUCGCACAUCGAUGAAGAACGCUGCGAACUGCGAUACGUAAUGCGAAUUGCAGGAUUCAGUGAGUCAUCGAAAUUUUGAACGCAUAUUGCACUUCCGGGUUAGUCCUGGGAGUAUGCCUGUAUCAGUGUCCGUACAUCAAACUUGGCUCCCUUCCUUCCGUGUAGUCGGUGGAUGGGGAUGCGCAGACGUGAAGUGUCUUGCGACUGGGCUUCGGCUCGGCUGCGAGUCCUUUGAAAUGUACAGAACUGUACUUCUCUUUGCUCGAAAAGCGUUAUAUUACUGGUUGUGGAGGCGUGCUUGUACUGGCAAGUCGGCGACCGGUUUGUUAGCUGCGGCGUUUAAUGGGGGAGUGUUCGAUUCGCGGUAUGAUCGGCUUCGGCUGGACAGACGCUUAUUGGAUGCUUUUCCUGCUGUGGCGGUACGAACUGGUGAACCGUAGCUGUAUUUAAGCUUGGCAUUUGAACCGGCGAUGUGGUGCGAAGUAGAGUGGCGGUUGUUCCGGCGCAAGCUGGAGUGGCUGUCGAGGGUCGAUCCAUUUGGGAAAUUUGUGUCAGUGCGACUUCGGUUGCGCUGGCAUCUCAAUUGGACCUGAUAUCAGGCAAGAUUACCCGCUGAACUUAAGCAUAUCAAU